ensembl:lncRNA
ACAUUUUCAGUGAACUCUGAGCAAGGAAUGGAUGGAAAAUCUUAUCUUAGUGAGGAGGUGUGGUUGACCCCGUUGCUAGGUAUGAGUCAUCAUUUCAAAAGCCGUGAUUGGUUGAUCCUACAAGUUUGAUGGAAAUGAGUUUUUGGUGAUAAUGAGCAAAGGAUGUACCCUCAAAUCAAUAAACAUAAUUAUACACUCUAAUCUUACGCUGACUGUAAUUGUGAAUAAUAUUUCACAUUCAAGAAAAUAUCUGGAAAAUGAAUAGUAAGCUGUAGGGGUUAUAGCCUAACAUUAGAAUCUAAAAUAUGUGAAAACUUAAACUCAUUACACCCUGUUCAAAUAAUGAUUUGUGUCUUAUUUGCUCAUAUUAAUAUCCUAGCUGGCAUAUUUUGUACUUUCACUCCCAUAUGGACCCCAUUGAAAACAAGAUGGCCUAUCUCAAGGGGCUGUCCUUAAUGAAGUAGAAAUCACAACGUUACAAGUCCAGUGUGGUCUUAAUGAGGGUAACACGGCUCAGCUUUUAUCAAUGUCUGUGAUUGCUGGCUGGUCUAUUUAUAAAGGCUUGUUAACAAAUAUCCUACAAACACAGAAAAUGGAGAAAAAAAGGACUCGCAAGCCGAACUGGACUGAGGAGCAAGGUUUGUUGCUGGCCCAGUUGGUGAAUGAACAUAAAGGCGACGGUUGUGAGAGAAGGUGAUAUGUGCUGCAGUCCAAGGCAAAAGAUGAGAUUGCAGCACACAAGCAGGAAUCCUCACUCACAGGUGAGCAAAAUAUUAUAGCCUACCACAUAAUCUGGCAACUUGCGCCUGCUGGCAAAGUUAAUUUACAUGCCUAAGUACUGUGUUCAUUGACUGUUUCUUUCUAGGGGGCGGCUGUCCCUGGUGGCUGACACGGUCUUUCAAGUCCUGGGACACUCUGAGGUCAGUGUCACUGGGCUGCCAACAGGCAUUGACACAUCAAUGAUGAAGGCCCUUGAAGUGCAGCAAAGCAUGGAGCCAUCACAAGAACCGGGCCCAUCAAGUUUGCCGAUGAGAUUGCCGCCUGAACUAUCUGCAGCUGCUACUCAGGAUAGCCCGGCGGAUCAAACACCAUUCCCAUCCGCAGCACCUGCUCUGUCAGCAUCCCUGCAGGAGAGCAGAUUGCAACUCACAAUUGAUGUGUUUGAACAACAAAAAAAAAGUCCUUUCCCUUCAGGAGGAGUACUACCGCCUUAAAAUUGAACACC